ensembl:snRNA U6 U6 spliceosomal RNA
AUGUAUAAAUCAGCAGCAAAUAUACUAAAACUGGAACAAUACAGCGAAAAUUCGCAUGACCUGGGAAUUCCCUGGCGGUCCAGUGGUUAGGACUUGGCACUUUCACUGCCAUGGUCUCGGUUCAAUCCCUCAUCAGGGAACUAGAUUAGCCUGCCCCCAUGCAAGGCUGACACGCAAAUUCAUGAAUUGUUCCAUAUUUUU